rnacentral:rRNA from 1 species
AUUGAACGCUGGCGGCAGGCUUAACACAUGCAAGUCGAGCGGGGGAAGGUAGCUUGCUACUGGACCUAGCGGCGGACGGGUGAGUAAUGCUUAGGAAUCUGCCUAUUAGUGGGGGACAACAUCUCGAAAGGGAUGCUAAUACCGCAUACGUCCUACGGGAGAAAGCAGGGGAUCUUCGGACCUUGCGCUAAUAGAUGAGCCUAAGUCGGAUUAGCUAGUUGGUGGGGUAAAGGCCUACCAAGGCGACGAUCUGUAGCGGGUCUGAGAGGAUGAUCCGCCACACUGGGACUGAGACACGGCCCAGACUCCUACGGGAGGCAGCAGUGGGGAAUAUUGGACAAUGGGGGGAACCCUGAUCCAGCCAUGCCGCGUGUGUGAAGAAGGCCUUAUGGUUGUAAAGCACUUUAAGCGAGGAGGAGGCUACUUUAGUUAAUACCUAGAGAUAGUGGACGUUACUCGCAGAAUAAGCACCGGCUAACUCUGUGCCAGCAGCCGCGGUAAUACAGAGGGUGCGAGCGUUAAUCGGGUUUACUGGGCGUAAAGCGUGCGUAGGCGGCUUAUUAAGUCGGAUGUGAAAUCCCCGAGCUUAACUUGGGAAUUGCAUUCGAUACUGGUGAGCUAGAGUAUGGGGAGAGGAUGGUAGAAUUCCAGGUGUAGCGGUGAAAUGCGUAGAGAUCUGGGAGGAAUACCGAUGGCGAAAGCAGCCAUCU